rnacentral:rRNA from 1 species
UACGAAGGACCCGAGCGUUAUCCGGAUUUAUUGGGUUUAAAGGGUGCGUAGGCGGAUUUAUAAGUCAGUGGUGAAAGCCUAUAGCUUAACUAUAGAAUUGCCAUUGAUACUGUAGGUCUUGAGUACAGUUGAGGUGGGCGGAAUGUGCAGUGUAGCGGUGAAAUGCUUAGAUAUUGCACAGAACACCAAUUGCGAAGGCAGCUCGCUAAGCUGUAACUGACGCUGAGGCACGAAAGUGUGGGUAGCAAACAGG